GACUCAGUGGUUCAGUGGUAAAGCGCCCUUCGUGGAGCCAGAGAGUCCUGGGUUCGAUGCCCAACAGGGUUG
rnacentral:tRNA from 1 species